rnacentral:rRNA from 1 species
AACGAACGCUGGCGGCAGGCUUAACACAUGCAAGUCGAGCGCCCCGCAAGGGGAGCGGCAGACGGGUGAGUAACGCGUGGGAACGUACCCUUUGCUACGGAAUAGCUCCGGGAAACUGGAAUUAAUACCGUAUGUGCCCUACGGGGGAAAGAUUUAUCGGCAAAGGAUCGGCCCGCGUUGGAUUAGCUAGUUGGUGGGGUAAUGGCCUACCAAGGCGACGAUCCAUAGCUGGUCUGAGAGGGUGAUCAGCCACAUUGGGACUGGGACACGGCCCAAACUCCUACGGGAGGCAGCAGGGGGGAAUAUUGGACAAUGGUCGCAAGCCUAAUCCAGCCAUGCCGCGUGAGUGAUGAGGGCCUUAGGGUUGUAAAGCUCGUUCACCGUAGAAGAUAAUGACGGUAUCCGGAGAAGAAGCCCCGGCUAACUUCGUGCCAGCCGCCGCGGUAAAAC